UGUUUGGUGGCUGAGUGAGAGGCAGUAGACUGUAGAUCUAUUAACGGAGUUAAAUCUCCCCAACA
rnacentral:tRNA from 1 species